CUCCGUCCACUCCAAACAACCACAAGUCGUCCAGCCCCCACGCUUAAACCAGCGAAGCAUCCCCAAACGACCACCAAUGCGUCACCCUCACUCCAAACGACCUCUACGUCGUUAACUUCCAUAGCCUCUGCUUCCGUUCACGUCCAACGUUAACGUCCAAAAACCAAAUACACCUCUGCCAAGUUUAUAGUUCUUCUCAUUGAUUUCGUUUUCGAUUUUUGCUUUCAAACUCAAUGAGUUCAUUUGAGUUUGAAAGUCAUUUUGUGCUCGGGUUGAUUUGAGGUCGCCGAUCGUGGUUCCUGCAUUGUGAUUUCAUUUUCCGGUUAGAUCUCUGUCGCAAACGUGGUUGCAUCGACGAGAAAGGUAAUAACAAACUGUGUAUGAUUUUAGGCUACUACUUGUACUUAUCCAUGGCAUGUGAAUAGCAACUGAUUGUUUUUCAAUAUUGAUAUGUGACAGUGUGUCUAUUUUUGUGUAUGCUUGGCUUAUUCUAGCACUACAACAUUUUUUAGAGUAUUUCGUGCUAAUCUCAAUUCCAGAAUGUGGAUGAGACAGUGGAGGAACAACAACAUCACUAGUUUAAUUAGUGAAAAUCUUGAAGUGAUGUUGGUCUUUGUCAUACCUGUGAGUUGCCUUCAUGUUUCAUUAAUCUUUAAAGUUAUUGAUAAAUUUUGGUGGGUUUGAAUCCGUGUUUGGUUUAAGAUUCAUUUCUGUCCGAUUUUAUUAAUAUUUAAAGUUAUUGAUAAAUUUCGGUGGUUUGAAUCCGUGUUUGGUAUAAGUUUCAUUUCUGUCCGAUUUUGUUUGAUAUUCUCGGAUCUAAAAUCGUUAUAUGUUUGAUUUUUUUCUUGUUUGUUGUUUAUCAUUUCAUGAUUAUUUUUUCAGUUUGUUUUUAUUCAUUUAAAAGAAUUUAGUACUAAUAUAGAAGUUUGUUAGUUUAAUAACUUGAAUCCUUCAUCUUGGUAGUAAUAUUGUUAGAUUUAGUUUGAGGUUCAAUUGAUUAUUGAAUUUAGUGAUGUGAAUCUACUUGUUUGUUUUGUUAAAAUAGUUUCUGAUGUGAAUCUGACCAUGUUAUCUUAAUUUUGUUGAUUUAAAAUUAGUUUCAUGUGUUUAAUUAAUAAAUUGUUAGGCUUGAAUUGGUUAUAGCUGAUAGAUUUUGUUACAGAUUGAAAGGGAUAGGGGCAUGGUAGUAAUUUUCAGUUAUUUCGGGGGGUAUUUUUGGAAUUGAAAAUAUAAAGAAUUGUUUAAAAAAUAAUGGGGAAUAUAAUUAUGUAAAGUAAAAAGAGUGUGGGGAGCAUAAUGAUGUAAAAUAAAAGAGUGAGGACUAUGGGGUCUAUGUUUGACUACUUUUUGCUUUAAUCAUAAAAGUUAGGAAAUAAAAGUAAAAGGAGAGGAAUAAUAAUUAAAGGGUAGAAGAAAGGAGUCUUGGUGGGAUUAUAAAAUAGAAGUCAUUUGUCACUUAGAGGGGGAGAACAAUCUGUUAAAAAAAUUUCAGGGAGAGGAAUUUUGGAGAUAAAAAUUUGAGAACUUAAGAAUUCAGUCUCUGAGAAUUAAGAACAAAAAGGGAGGUCUUUUCUUUACUGCUGAAUAUCAGAACUAGUACUGUUACUACUUAACUAGUUAUUGCUGAAUUUUUUGCUUGUUUUUUUUUUAAAAAUCUAUUCCUGGGUUCCUCCUGCACUGUUUUGUUACUGGUUUACUACUUUGGUUGCUGAACCUGUUGUUGCUGUAUUGUGCUACUGCUGCACUACUGACUUCUUCCUCUUCUUUGCUUUCCAAAUACCAGGUACACGACUGUAACACUGGCUAUUGUAAGCUGAAAAGUGUAGAAGCAUGAAUACAUAUAAAAAUGGAAGUUUGAAGUUUUGAUUUAACUUUUCUUAUUUAUAUGAUUUUAUUUUAGAACAUUUCUUAUACUACUUUUAUGUAGAUUUCUGCCAGCUUUGUGUAGUUGUACCCUCUGUGUGCUGGCAUGAUUUGAAGCAGCUAGUUGAGACUGAUACCAGAUAUAGAUUUAGAAUCCGGUCUUUUGUAAACAGAUAAAAGGUGAAAAUUCUGGCUUGAAGGCUUGUUGGUAUUGCUAGAAAGGCUAAAUUUCGGUUGAGAUGGUGUCGUCAGGCUUAAGUGGAUUGGGACGACAUGGCAUCACUCGUGGGUGUAUGUUGGAAGUGAGCACUUAGUGACGUAAGGACUUCGAGGCAAAUCUUAGCACGCUCGAGGAUGAAUGUUGGUUUUAAGAGGGGAGGAAAUAACGACUCGACUGGUUGUUUUGGAAAAUUAAGCUCAAUUCAGCUGCAAAAGGUUUGGAACAGCUUUGGAAUAUGAGUAUCGACUUGCGCGUAGGGUGGAAUUUGGUUUUCGGAUGGUUUAGAGUCAAAUUGGAAGAAGGAAUCUAGUUUUGGGAAUUUAGAGCGGUGAAAAGUUGACCGGAAUUGGACUUGUGAGUAAAUGACCUCAAAUGAGUCGUGAAUGAUCCCAACAGCUUUGUAUGGUGAUUUUGGACUUAGGCGCACGUCUAGGUUUAGUUUUGGAAGUCCGUAGAGUGAACUGAGGCCUUUCGGCGAAAGUUGAAGUUGGAAAAUGAAGAAGUUUGACCCACAUUUGACUUUUGUGAUAUCGGGGUCGGAAUGCGAUUCCGAGAGUUAGAGAAGCUCCGUUAUGUUAUUUGGGACUUGUCCGCAAAAUUUGGCAUCAUUCCAAGUUGAAUUGAUAUGUUUCGGCAUGAAAUUCAAUAUUUGAAGAUCUGAAAGUUCAUAAGCUUGAAUUUUGGUUAGUUUGUCGCUUCGAUGUUGUUUUAUGUGAUUUUAAAUUUCGAGCCAGUCCGUGUUAGGUUAUAUAAAUUGUGUGUGUGAUUAGAAGGGGUUCUGGGAGCCUCGGGUGUUUUUUUGAUGGGCUACGAAUCAUUUUCUUCCAUUUUUGAACCGCUCAAAUUGUUGGUUCUGAUAUCCUUCUAUGCGAUCGCGAAGCUUCUCCCCCUAUCGCGAUGCCUUGCUGAAGACCACCUCAAAAUUUCUCUUCCGCAUUCACAGUCGUCUCCCGCGUCACGAAGCUUUGUGUAUUUCUUCAUCGCGUUCGCAUUAAGCCUUCCGCGAUCGUGAAGGGCUAUUUUCCUUUACUUCGCGUUCGUAUCUGUUAUCCCGCAUUCACAUAGUGGAAAUUAGGACUUGGGGCAGCUGACACCUUUCCGCUUCGUAUUCGCAUGAGCUCCUACGUGAUUGCAUAAGCCACCAUCUCAUUUCCCUUCGGAUUCGCAUCCCUCUUCACGUGAACGCGAUGUACAUUUCUGGGCCUUCUCGAAUUUCCUCUACGCGAUCGCGACCAUUGCUCAGCGAUCGCGAUGAACAAAUCACUGGGCAUAUACAUUAAAUCCCAAACUCGAGGGUUUCACCAUCUUUAUCACAUUUUGACUUCUAGAGCUUGGUUCUUGGCAAUUUUUGAAGGGAUUUUCGCUUGGGUAAGUGCGUCUCAGUCGAUUUAGACCAAUUUCCAUGAAUCUCCCCUUAAUUGCAUCCUUUAGUUUCAUAUUUUGAAUUAAAAAUGGGUAAAACUUCAUAGACCAAAUUAUUGCGUUUUGAGGGGGUGUUUGACCUCCGAUUUGAGAAAUUUUUAUAUGAUUAGACUCGUAAGAGUACGAGGGUUUUGAAAAUAUUAAAUUCAUCCAAUUCCGAGACGUUGGCUUGAGGGGUAGUUUGGUCAUUUUGCCUAAUUUCACGUUUUAGCUUUGACUUAAAUAGUAGAAUCCGUUGCCUGAGAUUUUAUUUACAACGUGCAAUUGAAUUGAAUAGAUUUGGGCAAUUUGGAGUCGAGUACUCGUGGCAAGAACGUGGUUGCUAGUUGAGUUUAGACUGUUCGAGGUAAGUAUCUUGCCUAACCUUGUAUGGGGACUUCCCCUUAGGAUUUGAGUCAUCUUAGUUAAUCGUAUUCCUUGUAGGCAAAGUGAAGAGUGCAUGCUCGGAUUUAUUUGUGGAAAUUUGUCCCUUUUAGGCCCUUAGAUCCUUGUAAUCAUCGAAAAUGAAGUUGUUCUCGAUACGAUUGAGUUUUGUUAUUAGUUUCACCUCUACAUGUCUUACUGGGAAUUAGUUUGCGAUUUUUGGUUUAUUAUUGUUGCCUAAUUGACUUUUACUUGUUUAACUGUAGACAUUUACCCUUCUAUAGUCAAGAAAGCAUUAUAUCUAUCUCUCGUGUAAUUAGUUGGUCUUAAUUGGAAAGAAGUUAAAUAUCCUAAGUUUAGUUGACAUUUCCUUAAUUGUAAUUAUUUGAUUCAUGUUAAUUUCCUUGUUGUUGAACUGAGUAUUAUGGAAUCGUUGUUUCGUAUUAUUUCUCCCUUGUUGAUUUGUACUUAUUGUGCUUAGUAUUUUCUCUGUUAUGGUUAUUCCUUAUGAGUCAGUUGUAAUGUCUUUUGGUAAACGGAAAUACCUGAGUUAAUUCUCUUGCUUUGUUCCUAUAUAUAUUGUCAUUUGUUGUGUUGUACUUGAGACUGUGAUGCACGGGGUUUCUGCCGUACGGUUGUUGAUACUGUGAUGCAUGAAGUUUCUGUCGUGCAGCUAUUGGUGCUGUGAUGCACGAGGUCUCUGCCGUGCGAUUGUUGUUGAAUGGUUGCACGAGGUCUUUACCAUGCUAUUGUUGCUAUUGAUGUUUUGCACAUUCGGCGUAAUAAGGCGAGAUAUGUUAUAUGCUUAUAAGUGGGUUGCACAUGUGGCGAAAUAAGGUGGGAACAUUGUGAUGCACGUGUGGCAAAAUAUGGCAGUGCUUAUUAUAUAUUAUUUGCACACGCGGUGAAAUAAGGUAGGCUAUGUCAGGGGUUGAUUGUAAAGAAUUGUGAUGGCCUGAGGAGGCAUUCCUAUUUGUUUAAUAUUGUGAUUGUGGUUGCUUAUCUAUAUGAGCUUUACAGCUUGCAAGUUCUGAGGAAACAUCGUACGUGCGGUCCGUUCUCCUUUUCAUGUUUAUUAGUUGGUAUAAUUCUUGUUAAAAACACUUGCACAAGCAUACACAUAGUUUUGGAACCCCAUUAGAGGUGAAUUCCUUCCAAUUUUGCUAAGGGUGGAAAUGCACCCUUGUUCAUCCAUUAUACAUGUGAGGGUGACCCUAGUUAGCCAGUUAGUUGUCAGCAUGACCGUGAGAUUGAUGGGGCAUAGGAUGCCAAGUGUUAGAUUUCCGAUGCUGGAUUUUCGUGAGUUGUAGUUGUCCGAGAUCUUUGGUAAAAUUGUGGAAGCAGUUGAAUAGGACCUUAUGUGAAUAUCAUCGUGGGGUAUGAGUUAUUGACUUGUUUUUUUCCCCUUGUUGUGUUGUGACCUUAGGAUAUGGAUUGUGAUUUUGCCGUUAUUACAUAUCAUCAUUUAUUAAUUCUCGUUGUUACUUGUUGUUCUUUUUCCUUAUUGUGAAUUGUAGCAUUAUUGGUCAUUUCAUGCAGUCUUUACCUAUUUAUAUAUCAUUUCCGUGAUUCCUAUGAUUAUAUUGUUUAUUUGACCGGUUGGUGUCUUGACUGUUCCUUGUCACUACUCCACCGAGGUUAGUCUUGUACUUACUAGGUACCGCCGUGAUGUGCUCAUGCUACUCUUCUGCACAUUUUUGUUGUGCAGAUACAUGUACUCCCACUUAGUUCUAUUAGCCUUGGAAGGAGGCGUAUCGGUAGAGACUUCGAGGUAUAUCUGCUACGUCCGCAGACCGAGGAGGUCCCUUUCUGGCUUUCUGAAAUAAGUAUAGCUCCUUUAGUUUUCCUUUGUAUAGACAUUCUUGAAUGAGAGCCUUUUAUGUAUCCCUUAGCUUGUGAUUUGUGAGAUUACGGGUUUUGAGAAUUUUUGUUAGCUUCGAAAGUUGUUAUUGUAUGUGCCGAGCGGCACCUUAAAUACAUGUUUAUUUUACUAUAUUAGUUUUAAUCAUUCUUUUCCAAUUUAUGGUUAUCUUCCGCAUUGUUAGGGUUACCUAGUCGUAGGGAUUAGGUGUCAUCACGAGAUGUUGACGAAGGGCGAACUGGGGUCGUGACAACUAGAAACCCUGGAGGAGUCACACACUGGUAAAGAAUAUGGAAACUUUUCAUUGCAAGAUGGUUGUCUACUAUUCAAUAUCUUUUGAAGGCCAAUUUACGAAGUAUAUGAUACCUCUUAUUUCUUUGGUGCUAAGAUGUUGAAGGAAUAGCCUGUAGAGG
rnacentral:lncRNA from 1 species